UACGUAGGGUGCAAGCGUUGUCCGGAAUUAUUGGGCGUAAAGAGCUCGUAGGCGGUCUGUCGCGUCGAAUGUGAAAACCCGGGGCUCAACCCCGGGCCUGCAUUCGAUACGGGCAGACUAGAGUUCGGUAGGGGAGACUGGAAUUCCUGGUGUAGCGGUGAAAUGCGCAGAUAUCAGGAGGAACACCGGUGGCGAAGGCGGGUCUCUGGGCCGUAACUGACGCUGAGGAGCGAAAGCGUGGGGAGCGAACAGG
rnacentral:rRNA from 1 species